AAAAAAAAAGCAGAGAAAGCCCAUCCACUCCACUCCUCUCCCCUCAAAAUCAUAGUGUAGCCAAAAAUCCAUUCCCAAUCACUACAAAACGACAAACCAAAAGCAGCACGCGUGCCCACUUUCCCAGAUUCCUCUCUCUUACAAUCAUAUUCAACGAUGACGAUGAUGAUUUUUGUUUUUGUUUGUCGUUUGCGCAGGGAGGAGGACGCGGAGGUGUUGGAGGUGGUGAUUGUAUUCAGGCCACUGCUAAUGGU
rnacentral:misc_RNA from 1 species